GCCGCACUAGCUUAGAGGUAGAGCAUCACACUUGUAAUGUGAAGGUCCAGAGUUCGAUUCUCUGGUGUGGCU